rnacentral:rRNA from 1 species
AACGCGAAGAACCUUACCAGCCCUUGACAUCCCGGUCGCGGGAACGAGAGAUCGAUCCCUUCAGUUCGGCUGGACCGGAGACAGGUGCUGCAUGGCUGUCGUCAGCUCGUGUCGUGAGAUGUUGGGUUAAGUCCCGCAACGAGCGCAACCCUCGCCCUUAGUUGCCAUCAUUAAGUUGGGCUCUCUAAGGGGACUGCCGGUGAUAAGCCGCGAGGAAGGUGGGGAUGACGUCAAGUCCUCAUGGCCCUUACGGGCUGGGCUACACACGUGCUACAAUGGCGGUGACAAUGGGACGCAAUGGGGCAACCCUGCGCAAAUCUCAAAAAGCCGUCUCAGUUCGGAUUGUGCUCUGCAACUCGAGCACAUGAAGUUGGAAUCGCUAGUAAUCGCAGAUCAGCACGCUGCGGUGAAUACGUUCCCGGGCCUUGUA